UAUUAACAGAACCUUUCGGGGCGAAGAAUAUAGAAGUUAGUGGCGGACGGGUGCGUAACGCGUGGGUAAUCUGCCUUUGUCAAAGGAAUAACUAUUCGAAAGAAUAGCUAAAACCGUAUAACAUAUUAAUAGGGCAUCCUAAUAAUAUCAAAACGAUAGUGGACAAAGAUGAGCCCGCGUCUGAUUAGCUAGUUGGUGAGAUAAAAGCCCACCAAGGCAACGAUCAGUAGCCGACCUGAGAGGGUGAACGGCCACAUUGGAACUGAGACACGGUCCAAACUCCUACGGGAGGCAGCAGUGGGGAAUAUUGCACAAUGGGGGGAACCCUGAUGCAGCAACGCCGCGUGAGUGAAGAAGGCAUUCGUGUUGUAAAACUCUGUAGUG
rnacentral:rRNA from 1 species